UACGUAGGGUGCGAGCGUUAAUCGGAAUUACUGGGCGUAAAGCGUGCGCAGGCGGUUUUGUAAGCCAGAUGUGAAAUCCCCGGGCUUAACCUGGGAAUGGCAUUUGGGACUGCAAGGCUGGAGUUUGGCAGAGGAGAAUGGAAUUCCUGGUGUAGCAGUGAAAUGCGUAGAUAUCAGGAGGAAUACCGAUGGCGAAGGCAGGUCUCUGGGCUAUAACUGACGCUCAUGCACGAAAGCGUGGGGAGCAAACAGG
rnacentral:rRNA from 1 species